CCCUUAGAUGUUCUGGGCCGCACGCGCGCUACACUGAUGCAUUCAACGAGUCCAACCUUGACCGAGAGGUCCGGGUAAUCUUUGAAACUGCAUCGUGAUGGGGCUAGAUUAUUGCAAUUAUUAAUCUUCAACGAGGAAUGCCUAGUAAGCGUGAUUCAUCAAAUCGCGUUGAUUACGUCCCUGCCCUUUGUACACACCGCCCGUCGCUCCUACCGAUUGAGUGUGUUGGUGAGGAGUUUGGAUUGGCCUCGGAAGGUGGUUCUCCACCGUCCGUAGCUGAGAAGUUCUCCAAACCGCCCCACUUAGAGGAAGGAGAAGUCGUAACA
rnacentral:rRNA from 1 species